AGCGAACGCUGGCGGCAGGCCUAACACAUGCAAGUCGAACGAACCUUUCGGGGUUAGUGGCGGACGGGUGAGUAACACGUGGGAACGUGCCUUUAGGUUCGGAAUAACUCAGGGAAACUUGUGCUAAUACCGAAUGUGCCCUUCGGGGGAAAGAUUUAUCGCCUUUAGAGCGGCCCGCGUCUGAUUAGCUAGUUGGUUGAGGUAAUGGCUCACCAAGGCGACGAUCAGUAGCUGGUCUGAGAGGAUGACCAGCCACAUUGGGACUGAGACACGGCCCAAACUCCUACGGGAGGCAGCAGUGGGGAAUCUUGCGCAAUGGGCGAAAGCCUGACGCAGCCAUGCCGCGUGAAUGAUGAAGGUCUUAGGAUUGUAAAAUUCUUUCACCGGGGACGAUAAUGACGGUACCCGGAGAAGAAGCCCCGGCUAACUUCGUG
rnacentral:rRNA from 1 species